UACGUAGGCAGCAAGCGUUGUUCGGAGUUACUGGGCGUAAAGGGUGCGUAGGCGGCUUUUUAAGUUUGGUGUGAAAUCUCCCGGCUCAACCUGGGAGGGUGCGCCGAAUACUGAGAGGCUAGAGUGCGGGAGAGGAAAGUGGAAUUCCUGGUGUAGCGGUGAAAUGCGUAGAUAAUCAGGAGGAACACCGGUGGUGUAAACGGCUUUCUGGACCGUAACUGACGCUGAUGACACGAAGCGUGGGUAGCAAACAGGAUUAG
rnacentral:rRNA from 1 species